UACGUAGGGACCGAGCGUUGUCCGGAUUCAUUGGGCGUAAAGAGCUCGUAGGCGGCUGUUCAAGUCGAACGUGAAAACUCGGAGCUCAACUCCGAGCCUGCGUUCGAUACUGGACGGCUAGAGUCUGGUAGGGGGAUCGUGGAAUUCCUGGGUGUAGCGGUGGAAUGCGCAGAUAUCAGGAGGAACACCGGUGGCGAAGGCGGGAUCCUGGGCCAGUACUGACGCUGAGGAGCGAAAGCGUGGGGAGCAAACAGG
rnacentral:rRNA from 1 species